rnacentral:rRNA from 1 species
UCGGCUUGGAGAAAAGCAGGGGAUCGCAGGACCUUGCGCUGAUUGAGCGGCCGAUAUCAGAUUAGCUAGUUGGUGGCGUAAAGGCCUACCAAGGCUACGAUCUGUAGCGGGUCUGAGAGGAAGAUCCGCCACACUGGAACUGAGACACGGUCCAGACUCCUACGGGAGGCAGCAGUGGGGAAUUUUGGACAAUGGGGGCAACCCUGAUCCAGCCAUGCCGCGUGAGUGAAGAAGGCCUUCGGGUUGUAAAGCUCUUUCGGCCGGAAAGAAAUCGCAUAGGUUAAUACCGUGUGUGGAUGACGAGUAC